rnacentral:RNase_P_RNA from 1 species
AAAGUUGAUUGAACAGUCGCUAUUUAAUAUUUUUAUAUUAAAAAGAGGAAAGUCCGGGCUCCGUAGGGACAUAGUGCCAGGUAACACCUGGGAAGAGAAAUCUUACGACUAGUACAACAGAAAAUAAACUACCUAUUAUAAAAUCAUAUUAAUAUUUACAAUAUUGUAGUAGGAAAAGGUGAAACGGUGCGGUAAAAGCUCACCGCAAAAUUGGUAACAAUUUUGGCACGGUAAACUUCCACUAGGAGCAAGGCCAGAUAGAAGGAUAUAGUCCCUUAUAAUAUACCCCUUCGGGUAGGCUGCUUGAAUUAAUGAGUGAUUGUUAAUCUAGAUAAAUGACUGUUUUAAACAGAACCCGGCUUAUAGAUCAACUUUAUAA